GGUCAAGUUAUUAAGGGUGCAGGGCGGAUGCCUUGGCACUAGGAGCCGAUGAAGGACGUGAUAAGCUGCGAUAAGCUUCGGGGAGUUGCACGUAAACUUUGAUCCGAAGAUUUCCGAAUGAGGAAACUCACUUAGAGUAAUGUCUAAGUAUCAUUAAGUGAAUACAUAGCUUAAUGAGGGGAACUCAGGGAACUGAAACAUCUAAGUACCUGAAGGAAGAGAAAGAAAUUCGAUUCCGUAAGUAGCGGCGAGCGAACGCGGAUUAGCCCAAACCAAUAAAGUUUUCUUUAUUGGGGUUGCGGACAUAUCAUAACGAAGAGGUAUCGUAAUUGAAGAGGUUUGGAAAGACCCACCACAGAAGGUAAUAGUCCUGUAUGUUAAACGAGAAGACUUUAGAUAUGAUCCAGAGUACCACGGGACACGUGAAACCCUGUGGGAAGCAGGAGGGACCACCCUCCAAGGCUAAAUACUACCUAGUGACCGAUAGCGUAUAGUACCGUGAGGGAAAGGUGAAAAGAACCCCGGGAGGGGAGUGAAAUAGAACCUGAAACCCUGCACUUACAAGCUGUGGAAGCACAUUUCUUGUGUGACCGCGUACUUUUUGUAGAACGGGCCAACGAGUUACGUUAAGUAGCAAGGUUAAGCACUUAAGGUGCGGAGCCGUAGCGAAAGCGAGUUUUAACUGAGCGUUCAGUUACUUGACGUAGACCCGAAACCGGGCGACCUACCCAUGAGCAGGAUGAAGCGAAAGUAAAAUUUCGUGGAGGUCCGAACCCACGAGCGUUGAAAAGCUCGGGGAUGACUUGUGGGUAGCGGUGAAAUUCCAAUCGAGCCCGGAGAUAGCUGGUUCUCCCCGAAAUAGCUUUAGGGCUAGCCUCAAGGUGAGAGAUACGGAGGUAGAGCACUGAAUGUCCUAGGGGGUAUUGCACCUACCGAAGACUAUCAAACUCCGAAUGCCGUCAUCUUAUACUUGGGAGUCAGACUGUGGGUGAUAAGAUUCAUAGUCGAAAGGGCAACAGCCCAGAUCGUCAGCUAAGGUCCCUAAAUGUAAGUUAAGUGGUAAAGGAUGUGGGAUUGCACAGACAACCAGGAUGUUGGCUUAGAAGCAGCCACUCAUUCAAAGAGUGCGUAAUAGCUCACUGGUCGAGUGAUCCUGCGCCGAAGAUUUCCGGGGCUAAAACUUACUACCGAAGCUACGGCAUCAGUAAUGAUGGGUAGGGGAGCUUCCCAUACGGGUUGAAGCA
rnacentral:rRNA from 1 species